CAUAGAAAAAAGCAAAAUUGUUGUAAAGCAAUGACGCAAAACUAUAGGGUCCAUUUUGGACAGCCAGUUGCCAAU
rnacentral:ncRNA from 1 species